UCUGAAGUAUUAAAUGGUGCUAGUUAGUUUACAUCCUCGGUGACCCAGGGCGUCGCGGAGAUCGAGGACACAGGAAGCACGCGAGAAAGAAUGAGGAGACGUCUUGUUCCCCUAUUUCUUUCUUCUUCGCACGUACGUUCGCUUCCGGUCACAUGGUCGCCCUGUGUCCCCGAGGAAGAGAUACGUCACAAACUCAAGAUUGCACAGUGUUGCGUGACACAAUAAGUUCGUGACAAGUCAAGUGUUGUGUGACACCCACCCGUUAGGAGGGUCCACGAGGAUGGC